rnacentral:rRNA from 1 species
AUUGAACGCUGGCGGCAGGCUUAACACAUGCAAGUCGAGCGAGGGGCGGACGGGUGCGUAAUGUUUGGGAAUCUACCUUAUGGAGGGGGAUAACUACGGGAAACUGUAGCUAAUACCGCGUACCAUAAGAUGAGCCCAAGUGGGAUUAUGUAGGUGGUGAGGUAAGGCCUCACCAAGUCGACGAUCUCGAGCUGGUCUGAGAGGAUGACCAGCCACACUGGGACUGAGACACGGCCCAGACUCCUACGGGAGGCAGCAGUGGGGAAUAUUGCACAAUGGGCGCAAGCCUGAUGCAGCCAUGCCGCGUGAAUGAAGAAGGCCUUAGGGUUGUAAAGUACUUUCAGUAGCGAGGCGUUACCUACAGAAGAAGCACCGGCUAACUCCGUGCCAGCAGCCGCGGUAAUAC